rnacentral:lncRNA from 1 species
CAGUGAAUAAGAUGAGAAAAUCAAUCAGAAAUAUGCAGUGGAAGAAGAGAGAUAAACCACACACACAACACCAAAGUUUAUAGUAGUUCGGUGCACUCCCAGCCGCUCUUCUCGAUUCAAUGAGAAGCUUCGACUGAUUUUCUCACAGAAGUAAGUUUCAGAUGAGUGCCGGUGAGGAUGAUGAACUGUUUAGCUUUUUCUUCCUUUUUCUUAGUGGAAACUUUUCUUUCUUAAUAGAAUCUUUUUUCUUUCCUUGUUAUUUUCUUUCUAAGGUUCCCUUGAAUUUAUAGACGAGUUCUUCAGAGGGAUUUGAAUUUCUUUCUUUCCGUUUUAAUGGGAAUCUUUUCUGUUACAUAAGAAGACAAAAAUUGUUGCAAGCUUCCUGUUGUGGUCCUAGUAGUACAAGGGUGGACUUAUGUAACUUAGGGGUCGAUUCAUGCUUAUCAUGGGUCGGCACUUCAAGAUAUUGAGAUGGCUCUUGCUGUGAUAACUUCAAAGGGUCGACUC